AGAGUUUGAUCCUGGCUCAGGACGAACGCUGGCGGCGCGCCUAACACAUGCAAGUCGAACGAGAGAGAAGGAGCUUGCUUCUUCGAUCGAGUGGCGAACGGGUGAGUAACGCGUGAGGAACCUGCCUCAAANAGGGGGACAACAGUUGGAAACGACUGCUAAUACCGCAUAAGCCCACGGGUCGGCAUCGAUCUGAGGGAAAAGGAGCAAUCCGCUUUGAGAUGGCCUCGCGUCCGAUUAGCUAGUUGGUGAGGUAACGGCCCACCAAGGCGACGAUCGGUAGCCGGACUGAGAGGUUGAACGGCCACAUUGGGACUGAGACACGGCCCAAACUCCUACGGGAGGCAGCA
rnacentral:rRNA from 1 species